rnacentral:rRNA from 1 species
CCGGCGCACGGGUGAGUAACACGUAUCCAACCUGCCGUCUACUCUUGGACAGCCUCUGAAAGGAAGAUUAAUACAAGAUGGCAUCAUGAGUCCGCAUGUUCACAUGAUUAAAGGUAUUCCGGUAGACGAUGGGGAUGCGUUCCAUUAGAUAGUAGGCGGGGUAACGGCCCACCUAGUCUUCGAUGGAUAGGGGUUCUGGGAGGAAGGUCCCCCACAUUGGAACUGAGACACGGUCCAA